rnacentral:lncRNA from 1 species
AAGAGAAUAAUAUUAUACAUUUAUCUUUGAGAUGUUUCUACUAACAAUGUGGAAGCUGGACUAGAUUUGGAUAAGACUGGAGCCAGAGCAGCGGUGCUCACCGGAGAUCUCAGGAGACAAGGGCAAAAAUCACCCGUCAUUUUCUACUGAAUGGGUGUCUGGAGGACCAUUCAGGCUCCUAGUGGCUGGAUUUGGUGGAGAGGAUUAAUGUGGAGAGCCCUUGGAAAAUCAGCAUUGCUCCUGCCUGCACCAGCUAUUGUUCCAGAGAACUACUGUUUGCACAGAGUAACAUCCAAAUGACAGAGAAUAACAGAAUAUUGAUUGCACUCCACAAGGAGGAGGCGGAAAACCACCCUGUGCAGGUAAGAGGGCAUAAUGGAGAAAAGGUGA